GCCCAGACUCCUACGGGAGGCAGCAGUGGGGAAUAUUGCACAAUGGGGGAAACCCUGAUGCAGCGACGCCGCGUGAGUGAAGAAGUAUUUCGGUAUGUAAAGCUCUAUCAGCAGGGAAGAAGUUGACGGUACCUGAGUAAGAAGCCCCGGCUAACUACGUGCCAGCAGCCGCGGUAAUACGUGGGGGGCAAGCGUUAUCCGGAUUUACUGGGUGUAAAGGGAGCGUAGACGGCAGUGCAAGUCUGAAGUGAAAGCCCCGGGCUUAACCCGGGAAUUGCUUUGGAAACUGUACGGCUGGAGUGCUGGAGAGGUAAGCGGAAUUCCUAGUGCAGCGGUGAAAUGCGUAGAUAUUAGGAGGAACACCAGUGGCGAAGGCGGCUUGCUGGGCUUUUACUGACGCUGAGGCUCGAAAGCGUGGGGAGCAAACAGGAUUAGAUACCCUUGUAUUG
rnacentral:rRNA from 1 species